rnacentral:rRNA from 1 species
UUAAGCCCAUUUAAUUAAAACAAUAAUCACACAUUAACUAUCACAACUCCAUUUUAGAACUGAAAAGGAACACUAAAAAUCCAAAAUGAAAUUUUACCUCGUGUAUCAGGGAUAAUCUAAUAUUAGUUAAAUAAAAAUCUCCCGAAAUUCUGAGAUCUAUUUUUUUUUAAUGAUAAUUGUGUCAAAAAUAUAUAAAAUAAUAAUAGAAGCGAAACACUUUUCGAGCAGGAUGAUAUCUGGUUUCUAAAACUAGAGAAAACUCUAAAAUUGUUAAAAAGAUAAUUUUUAAUACUUUUAUGCGAAACAAAUAAUUAACCACAAGAAUUUAUAGUAUUCAACUUGUAUAAAAACUAAAAUUUCAGUACCUUAAAUAAAAAUUUUAGACAAUUCUAACAAAAUAAAUAAUGAUUAUAUUAGUAGAAAAUAAAUAAUAACAUCAUUUAGAAUAAUAAAUAAUAUAACCUAACAAAUAUUAAAAUUACUAAAAAUAUUAUCGACAGUUUAACAAAAACAAUUUUUAUUGAUUAAUAAUAAAUAUCUCCUGCUCAAUGAACUAAAUAGCCGUAGAAUUUUAACUAUGCUAAGGUAGCAUAAUAAAUUGCCUUUUAAUUUAAGGAUAGAAUGAAUGGAUAAACGAAUGAUACUUAAUUUUUACUAUUACUUUUUAAUUUACUAAUUGCGUUAAAACCCUCAUAAAAAAUAGAAAGACGAUAAGACCCUAUUGAACUUAACUGAUGUUAAACUGGGGCGGUUAAUUAAAAAAAAUCUUAAUUAGAACAAACCAUUAAAACAAUAAAUUAAUUUAAAACAAGUUACCAUAGGGAUAACAGCGUAAUAAUUUUCUAAAGCUCUUAUAAAAAAAAUUAUUUGCGACCUCGAUGUUGAAUUAACUACCUCUUAAAAGUAAAAAUUUAAAAAGUAAGACUGUUCGUCUAUUGAAAAGUUACAUGAUUUGAGUUCAGACCGGCGCAAGCCAGGUCGGUUUCUAUCUUCUUUUAUUUAAUAGCAGUACGAAAGGACAUUGUUAAAGGUUUUAAACCU